ACCUGGGAUACCUGAGUCAGUGGAGCAUGAGACUCUGAAUCUCAGGGCCAUGGGUUCGAGCCCCACGCUGGGCA